CUGCUGGCCCAGGUGCUAAGCCCCUCACUGCCGGGGGCCGGUGGGGCCGGCCGGCAGCUCGGAGCGCGGGGUCCGCGGAGCCCACGCCACGCCCACCCGGAACUCACGCUGGUCCGCAAGCGCCGUGCGCAGCCCAGGUUCCCGCCCACGCCUCUUCCUCCAUGCCUCUCCCUUCAUACCUCCCCGCAAGCUGAGGGAGGCGGCUCCGGCCUUGGCCAGCCCAGAAAGGGGCUCCCACAGUGCAGCGGCGGGCUGAAGGGCUUCUUAAGUGCCGCCAAAGUGGGAGCCCAGGCAGAGGAGGCGCCGAGAGCGAGCAAGGGCUGUGAGGACUGCCAGCACGCUGUCACCUCUCACUAUGAGAAACAAGAUCGCACUAUGUUCCCCAGGAUGGUCUCAAACUGGACUCAAGCAACCCUGCCUCAGCCUUCCAAAGUGCUGUGAUUACAGGUAUGAACCACUAUAUUUGGCCUUAUUAUCUAUUUUAUUCUUCAUGAUUUGGAUUUAAUUUGUUCUUUCUUUUCUAGUUUCCUAAGAUUGAUGCUUUAACGAAUGAUAUCAGAUUUUUCUUCUUUUC
rnacentral:lncRNA from 10 species